GGGGGUAUAGCUCAGUUGGUUAGAGCGCCUGCCUUACAAGCAGGAGGUCCUUGGUUCGAGUCCAUGUACCCCCA
rnacentral:tRNA from 1 species